rnacentral:rRNA from 1 species
GACGAACGCUGGCGGCGUGCCUAAUACAUGCAAGUAGAACGCUGAAGAGAGGAGCUUGCUCUUCUUGGAUGAGUUGCGAACGGGUGAGUAACGCGUAGGUAACCUGCCUUGUAGCGGGGGAUAACUAUUGGAAACGAUAGCUAAUACCGCAUAACAAUGGAUGACCCAUGUCAUUUAUUUGAAAGGGGCAAAUGCUCCACUACAAGAUGGACCUGCGUUGUAUUAGCUAGUAGGUGAGGUAACGGCUCACCUAGGCGACGAUACAUAGCCGACCUGAGAGGGUGAUCGGCCACACUGGGACUGAGACACGGCCCAGACUCCUACGGGAGGCAGCAGUAGGGAAUCUUCGGCAAAGGGGGCAACCCUGACCGAGCAACGCCGCGUGAGUGAAGAAGGUUUUCGGAUCGUAAAGCUCUGUUGUAAGUCAAGAACGAGUGUGAGAGUGGAAAGUUCACACUGUGACGGUAGCUUACCAGAAAGGGACGGCUAACUACGU